ACGGUACCCUUUUAGUAACAAAACAGACUAAGAUUAAAGUUUAAGCAUUGUCGAUUUUCUCUCUCUCUCAUAUAUAAUAUAUAUAUAUAUAUAUAUAUAUAUAUAUAUAUAUAUAUAUAUAUAUAUAUAAAGAGGGAGAUAAAUAUGUAGCUAGCAAUAUAUAUAUAUAUAUAUAUAUAUAUAUAGAGAGAGAGAGAGAGAGAGAGAGGACAGACAGACAGACUGAUAAAUAUGAAGCUAUGUAGGUAGAAAGAUAUAUAUAUAUAUUCUUUUCAGAUUUUCACAUCAAACACUUGAGAAAGGGUUAGCGGUAAAAAUAAAUAAAAUUGAAUGAGUCAAUAACCAAAAACAAAAGGAAAAAAAAUACCCUCAGCGCAAAAAUUCUUUCAAAGACGAAUGUUGUAAUUACAUAAUAAUACAUAAACACGAAACAAAAUUACAUAGCAAGAAAUUUAAUUAAAUUUGUAUAUUCAUAUAAUAAUAUAUUUAGGGAAGGUGUUUAUAACAGUAUCAAUGUGUCUAUGCACUGUUUACAUGAAAUAUAUUUCUCAUACCACGAAAUUUUAAUUGAAAGCUAAAUUUGUAAAGCUUUGAAAGUAAAUCUUGUGAAUACGAAAUUAUAGAGUUAUCUUGUUGAAGCCUUUAAUUCUUAUAAUUCAAUUAUACACCGCUUCAUUUAUGUAUCAACACGUUUGUGUGUAUGUAUAUAUAUAUAUAUAUAUAUAUAUAUAUAUAUAUGUAGUUAAAUAUGUAUGUGUACACAUACAGGGUGUUUCCAUCACACUCACAAAAACUAUUAUAUUAAAUUGCGUUAACUAUGUAUAUAUACAUAUAUAUGGUAAUUUAUACCUAUAAAUAUACAUACAUAUAUGAUAAUUUGUACUUAUAUGUGUGUGUGUUUGUGUGUGUACAUAUAAGUAAUUAGGGAUAUAUAAACUUAAUUAUAAAUAUUCGAAUAUAUAGAUAAUUGUAUAUAUAUAUAUACUCACAUAUAGAUGUACACAGACACACACACACACACAUUUAUAUAUCUAUAUACACCCAUGACACUGUGUAAAUAUUCAUACUCAAUUAUUUAGGUAUAUAUAUACAUAUAUAGUGUGUGUAUAAAUAUAUAUACAUGCAUCAUACAUUUAAAUACAUACAAACAUAUGCUUAGUUCUAGUUAUCAACAAGUUCAGUUGUGUGUGUAAAUAGAUAGAUAGAUAAAUAGACAGACAGACAGACAGAAAGAUAGAUAGAUAGAUAGAUAGAUAGAUAGAUAGAUAGAUAGAUAGAUAGAUAGAUAGAUAGAUAGAUAGAUAGAUAGAUAGAUAGAUAGAUAGAUAGAUAGAUGGAUGGAUGGAUGGAUGGAUGGAUGGAUGGAUGGAUGGAUGGAUAGAUAGAUAGAUAGAUAGAUAGAUAGACAGACAGACAGACAGACAGACAGACAGACAGAUAGACAGACAGACAGACAGACAUACAGACAGACAGAUAGACAGAUAGAUAGAUAGAUAGAUAGAUAGAUAGAUAGAUAGAUAGAUAGAUAGAUAGAUAGAUAGAUAGAACAUUGUAUCAUAUCAGUCACAGGUUUCGAUUCCUACUGGCGACAUUAUGAUGUUUUUAUUUCUGUCUUUUAGUUUGGAUAUAUAACAUAACUUGGUACUUUCUAAACUGAGUAAUCCGUUGACAGUUCUCUGGAUAUGAGGAAUGUUAGCCUGUUAGUUUCAGGCACCAAAUCCGGCCGGCUGAAGUUGUGACUCAGUGUAACUUUACUCCAGGCGACGUUCCACAUUUUGUCAUAUAUAUAUAUAUAUAUAUAUAUAUAUAUAUAUAUAUUAUUUGGAGAACAAUACUGGUCCAUAAUUUUCCUCCCUGAGCCAAAUUUCUUUCCGGAAUAUCUGUUUUCCCGAAUUUGUCUGAUGAUCAUUGUAUAAGAAACUACAGACAUAUAAUGAUCCACCCGGUCAUUUUCAACUUCUAUUUCUUUAAAUGCAAGAUUAUUUCUUCUAACACAUGUAUUAAGUUUGUUUUCUAUUUCUAUAUGGCAACUGCAUCACCAUAUAUAUAUUUGUGUGUGAGUGUGUGUGUGUGUGUGUGUGUGUGUGUGUGUGUGUGUGUGUGUGUGUGUGUGUGUGUGUGUGUGUGUGUGUGUGUGUGUGUGUGUGUGUGUGUGUUUGUGUGUAACUGCAUAUAUAUGCGGAGCGACUUAGAAUUUCGGAGCUGGUGUCUAGCACGCCAUAAAAACGAGGCGAUUGUAACAUUCGUUAUAACACGCUUCUGGAAAACGGUUACAGUGUUAUGAAACUGGCCGACAUUGCUGAGACAGAUAUUUGGUUUCGAAUUGCUUCUGCGUUCUUUUGCUAUGAAUGUUGGAGUGUUCUUGUGCAAAAUAUUGUCGACCUAAAUUUUGCUCUGGUGUGUGUGUUUGUGUGUGUGUGUGUGUGUGAGAGAGAGAGAGAGAGAGAGAGAGAGAGAGAGAGAGAGAGAGAGCGAGAGAGAUACCUUGUAUGUGUAUACAUGUUAUGCACAGACAUUUAGAAACAUACCCGAAGGUAAAUGCUUCACAAAUAUGAAUACAAAAAGCCAUAUCAUACAGCACGAGUAUCACAAUUAAUACACACGUACGUUAUACGCAUGUAUACUCAAAACAUAUGUGACUAUAUUAUACAAACGUAGAAGUGCAUACACGUUGAGACAUAAACACAAUUGUGAGAGUAUGUGAAUGUGUGUGUGUGUGUGUGUGUGUGUGUGUGUGUGUGUGUGUGUGUGUGUAUUGUUGUAUUGAUUUAUAAAUUACAAAUGCACGAAGAAUAUUUAUACACACUUGAUAUAUAUAUAUGCACACACACACACACACACACACACACACAAUAAAUGAAAUUAAAAUCAAAAUCAUAGAAAAGCAGCAAUGAAACACCUUCAAACUAUAUACAGGAAUUGUAUAUAAGUUUUCUGUACACAAAAAUCAGCCAUUUUGGAUCAAUGGAUCUCCACCUUUGAUAUGAUGAAAACAAACUCCAUUUUAAAGCAGAUAAUUUAAAGCAGAAUUAAAUGCAUCUUGUUUCAAAUUGAGAGAAGAAAAAUAUAUUUAAUGCGGACCGGAGGGUGAUAACUUCAAUGCUGGAUUAGCUGGGUAUUUUCGCCAUUUUGGACCGACUGGUGUUAUUUCACUAAGUUCCGACCAAAAGGAAAUAUCUUGUCUAAAAUUGAAGUUAAUCUCCUUCAUGGACCGGACAAAACGUAACGAUAAAGCGAAAAGCUUUGCAGUAUUUGUUUUGGAAUGGUUUGUAAGAAGCAUGAUUGCAUUUGAAGUCUUGCACGUCAAACACCUUCUCAAUGUUUAUCGUCUGCUUCUUCGAUAUCUCCAAAUGUCCUCUUUUAUGUUUGACUGUUUACUUGCUGUUUCUUUCAAAACAGUAUCACUCACUUUGUAUCAAUGCAUGCGCUCUCGAUUUUCCCUUAUAUAUUAUUGCCAUAGUUGUUGUGGUUGUCAUCGUCGUUGUUAUUAUUAGUAUCAUUAUUAUUAUUAUUAACAUUUCUGAAACGGGUGCUGGAUUUGCAGCAUCUGUAAAGUGACGGAACGAAAUUCCUGUCUAGUAUUUAGUUACGUCUUUCUUUACGAUCUGAGUUCAAAUCCCGCCAAGAUCGACUUCCCUUUAUUAUCCUCACAGAGGUUGAUAUAUAUGUAUUCAUUACCAGUCAUGCACUGGAGUUGAUUUCACCGAUAAACACUGAUCUUGUGUGGAUUUUGUGCAUGUAUUACAAAAUGUUGUUGUUCUUGAUGUUGUUUUUACUAUCAGCAUUUCUUGCUUCACUCUAUUGUCUGUGCGUCUAUGUAAAAUCUACUUUCACUUUUUCUGCUUUUUAUAAAUUAGCCAAACAUCUGUUUAUGUAUAUUAACAUUUAUUUGUUUCAAUCUUAUUUUUUAUCAAAGAUUCUUUGUUUCUUUAAAUUAAUGAUUUUUAAAUAGCAUUUUUUUCUUUUUCUAAAUACAUUAUUUUCGCUAAUCUAACAUAAAAUUAAUUCGUUAAUUGUUUAAGCACUUCAAUGAUUAAUUGAAUGGUUAAUUACCUAACGUAAUGACGCAUUUCGUUCUUAUUAAUACAAAUAUUACGAUUCAUUUAACUUCAUUUUAUCAUCAUUAAAAUAAUGCCAUUCCAGAACUAAGAAACAUUUAUUCACAUACUUACGUAUUAAUUGUUAUUUUUAUUAUUAUCAUUUUUAUUAUGUAAGGCGACGAGAUGAUGGAGUCGUUGGAGCGUCGAACAAAAGUUGCGGUGUUCCUUCUGAUGUUUUUUGUUUUCAGUUCAAAUACCGCCGGAGAUAAACUCUGACUCUCAUCCCUCGGGGUGGGGUGAUAAAAUGAAGUACCAUUCAAAUUCCGAGAUCGGUGGUAUCGACUAAUCCUCUCCCAUAGUUGGCAUUAUGCCCAAAAUCGCAAGAUACCAGAGUAAAUUCUUUCCAUUAUUUAAUGAUGUGCUAUCUCUUGUUCUCAACUUGAAUCCGGCCGAGGUCGACUCCACUUUUCUUCCCCUCCUGCAAAGCUUUGUGAUUUUGUACCUAAAUCAUUAUUAAUACGAAUUAUAAAUCUAAGGCGGCGAACUGGCAGAAUCGUUAGCAUGUCGGACUAAAUGCUUAACGGCUUUUCGUCCGUCAUUACGUUCUGAAUUCAAAUUCCGCCGGGGUCGACUCUGCCUUUCAUCCUUUCGGGGGUCGAUGAAAUAAGUAACAGUUGAUCGCUGGGGGUCGAUAUAAUCGACUUACCCCGCUUCCUCUGAAAUCGUUGGCCUUGUGUCAAAAUUUGAAACCAAUAUGAAUUAUGAACCUGCAGAAACGUUAGAGUUUGGACAAAAUGUUACGAGUUCAAAUCCCGCCGAGAUCAACUUCCCUUUCCAGAAAUUCUUUGAAUUCUUGAUAUAAAGAAACAGAAUUGUUUCCUUAGUUUGUCUGUGUCCAAGUUCAUCGAUCAUAAUGUAAAGAUGACCUUCUCCACCACAAAUUGGAUAUCAAGAAAGCUUCAAUUAGCAACCACUAGGCUUAUAUAAAAGAGGUAUAGAUCCAGAGCAGUUACCUGAAUUUUAUCUUAGAGAGAUUUGUGUCUCCAAAGACCCUUUUUAUUUUCCCUUUAAAAGGAAUGCGACAAAUUGUUCAAGACUUCCUAGAUUUUGUCUUCAAGAAGGAUUCGUUCAAACAGACGGAGAAAAUAUAGCUAUAUCUGGGGCCUAAAGGGUUAUAGUUUUCUAUAGGAUCCUUGGAUGUUAAUUAUAAUCACCAGAAAGUGAUUACCAAAAUGCUCAGCCCAUUCUCUAGCAUGUGGUGAGCUAAAUGAUCUUGGAAAAAUUAAUAGCUGUAGGUUACAGACAAUAUCGUUCUUUACUGGAAAGGCUAACUUUAACGGACACUACUAUAAGUUUACCAAGAUAUAUGAUGCCAAUAUUUUAUCACUAACAGCAGCGGAAGCCAUUAGUAAACCAACGAUCAUUUUUGGUUAUAUAUAUAUAUAUAUGUGUAUAUAUAUAUAUAUGUAUAUAUAUGUUUUUUAAUGUCCGUAUCUUAAUUCUGGAAUUGCUAUUAUUUCAAUUAAAUUUCAUUAAUUAUGGUUAAUUGUAAAUAUAAUUAUUUUCUUUCUCGUUUCUAUCUUAACUUUAAUUGUAUUCUUAACUGCUAAUUACUAGCUGAUUAUAUUGUUUAAAUUUAUUACUCUUAAUUAUACUAAUAUGACUAACAUCCUUAAAAACAAACAUAAAAAUCAAUACGAAUUUAUCAGUGUUGUUCUUGCUAUUAUUAUUAUUAUUAUUAUUAUUAUUAUUAUUAUUAUUAUUAUUAUUAUUAUUAUUAUUAUUAUAGGUACAGAAUGGCUAUGAUAAAUACCUACGAGAUGAAAGACCGGAAAUCACAGUCUACUUCUAAGAAACACAAAUGGUUACGCAUGCACAGGAAGUGAAGUGACGUCAGAACCAAGAACAACCAAGAACUACUCUUACUCUAACAACAACAACAACAAAUAUAUUAAUAAAUACUCACAAUAUCUGUAUGAAAUGAAAAAUAUUAUAAAACAGAGGCAGGUGGAGAAACGAGCGAGAAACACAGAAAUAAAGAAAGAUCCAGCAAAAAAAAAAUCUGAAAGAAAAGUGAAAUAAAGACAGCGUCGUGUAAUUUCAGCAUCAGCGGAUUCUAAGAAUGGUCUAGAACUGCGUAUAUUCAAUAUUUUUGUAUUUAUAAAAAAAAGUUCUUAAAAAUAACCUUGAAAAAAAUAAUUAAUUUGAAAAAAUAACAGCUCAGACUAACGAAAAUAUAAAAUAAAAAAAAAAAAAAAAGUAUACACAAACACAGUACUGACUAUAAACGUGUAUAUGUGUGUAUGACGGCUGUUAUAUAUGUGUGCGUGUGUUGUGUAUGUAUGUUUAUAUGGGGGGUUAUAUAAUACAAUCUCCAUACAAAUAUGUGUGUGUGUGUGUGUAUUCAUGGGAGUUUGUAUAUAUGCUGUGUAUGCCUCAUAGAGAAUUGGAAUUUCGAUAAAAAAAGUAGUUUUUUUUUAAUUAUUAUAAUAAUAAUAAUAUGAUAAUAACAAUAAUAAUUAUAAUUAUAAUGUAAACAACAACAAUAACAAUGACUAUUAUCUUGAUAAAUUAUAACAACAACAACAAUUGCUACGAUAACUGGAAAAAUAAUGAUGGUGAUGAUGGGAAUGAUGAUCAAUUGAAGGCAAGAGGAAGAGGAGAGAGAGGAGGCGAGAAAAAGAGGUGUUGAUUCUGGGAGAGAAUGAAGAAGAAAAAAUAUCUUUUUAUGGAUCAGGAAAAAAUGUGGGAAACAAUAAUCAUAAUAAUAAUAAUAAUGAUGAUGAUAAUAACAAUAAAUUAGAGAAGAUGGAGGCGUAAGACUGGAUGGAGGGAAAAAAAAAAAAGAGCAAAUUUGUAAGGAGGAGUUCAGACAAUGAUUAAAAUCACCAAUAUCAAUAUCGACUUGCAUCGAUCUGACUAAGUUCUCGGGUCUCAACCGAACCCAAACUGAUUCAAAGACGUUUUCUCAGAUUAGGAAAUUUCUGGGGAUAAAACAGAGAAGAUAUUCUAUACAGGAUAUGGAAGAUCAACACCAGCUGAUAAGUGGACGGUAAACAAGGGUGCGUGGAUGUGUCUGCAUAAAUGUAGAGAUAAGAGUAUGCAAAUAAAUGUCUAUGUAUAUAUGUAACGUCUUUAUAGGUAUAAGAAGGUACGGUGUGUGUAUAUAUACACACAUGCUUCUUAUACGACAUAUGUGUGUAUAUUAUAUAUAUAUGUGUACAAAUGUGUACAUAUAUAUAUUCAUUCAUACGUCGUAUAUGUGUAUAUAUGUACACAUACAUAAUAUAUAUAUAUAUAUAUAUAUAUAUAUAUACUACGUAUGUGUACAUAUAUACAUAUAUACGACUGUAUGUAUAUAUAUACACACAUACUACGUAUGUAUGUAUAUAUACAUACACUACGUGUGAAUACAUAUACACACAUACAUAUAUACAUAUACACAACGUGUGUGUGUAUAUAUGUGUAUGUAUAUAUGACAUAUGUGUAUAUAUAACUGACAGCUUAUUUACAUCCUAAACACUAAAUUUUGGGGGAGGAUUUUACAGACGAAGAAUAACACAUAAGAAAAAUUAAUCAACAAAAAAAAUAUAAUUGAUUCACACAGUUUUUUUUUGUUUUGCGAAGGAACCGGGUUAGAUAUAUGUAUGUUAGAUGUGUUGUUGUUGUUAUUUUUUUGUUUUGCAUUUAUUUUUUACAUUCAUUUUAUUUUAACUUCCUUGCUUUUCUUUCUUUUUAUUCCCUCUGCGAUUAUUAACGAAAUUAAAAGUUACUACGAUGAAUAACAAACACAUACACACACAAUAAUUAUAUAUGUAUAUAUAUAUACAUAUAUAUAUAUAUAUAUAUAUAUAUAUAUAUAUAUAUGUAUAUAUAUAUAUAUAUAUAUAUAUAUAUAUAUAUAUAUAUAUAUAUAUAUAUAUAUAUGUAUGUAUAUAUAUAUAUAUAUAUAUAUGAUAGUUUCACAAAACUAAAAUGGCGAACGAAACAGUACGACGCUCCAAAAUGGCGAACUGGUUAUUUAUAACGUUGUGGACCGAUUUGACGAAAUCAAUGCUUUUCGUUGAUUUCACAGAAGGAAACGCUGCAACUUGGUUUAUUAAUUAUUGGUAAAUAAUAAUUGAAGCACAAUUAAAACAUCAUGGAGUCCACAAUUUUAUCAUCUGACUGUAUACACGACAAGACUCUUGCUUUGAAUUUAAUUUUUAUUUUUUUGCGGUGGUUAUGGAUAGGAAAAGCAAGUCAGAUUGAUAUAAGAUAUAAAAAGUUCGUAACGUUACUGAAAGUCAAAAGAAAGAAAACUCCAGGCCUUUGAUGGAAUUUGAUUGGUGUGGUUGUUGUUGUUACCAUUGUUACAUGAGAGAGAGAGAUGAUAAAUGUAAAUUCGAAAUAAUGGUUUCUUCCGGUAUAAUUACUGGUACUGGGUUCAAGGAUUAUCACUCAAUUUCUUUUGGAAAAGAGGGAAACGAAGAGAAGCCAACCUUCUUGUAUUGACUCACAAAUAUUAAACUUUUACCGUUUUCUUUUUAAUUUUGUUUUCUUUAUUGUUCUUUCUUGUUUUUUUUUUCAUUUCCCCCCACUUGCGAGUGUGUGUGUAUGUCUG
rnacentral:lncRNA from 1 species